AAAUUGUGGCAUAUACCUGGGCCCAGCUCACAACCACAAUGAUGACUCUCUUACCUGGACACAGACAGUGGGAGAUAUUUUGACUUUUGUAGCCAGGCUUAGGCCAUAGAUAAACAGAGCCUACGAAUGAGGCACUUAAUCUCACACAUAAAAACAGUUGCAAGUUGGAUUUAUUACUCUCAUAUGUGGAUCUGGUUUCCAGGUGGUUUGGUGACUCUCGAACCAUGAUUCGGCAGACCUGUGAGGCUGUGAGUUCCCUAUUGGAACACAAUCUGCAGGUUGUAUUGUGCCAUAUACCUGGGACCAAAUUACAAGCACAAUGAUGAAUUUUUUACCUGGAGUCAAGACAUGUGCAGGAUGGUGGAACUUAUCACUGGACCUUUCCACAGUGUUAUUAUGACAUAUAACUUUGUCCAACAUGUGAGUAAUUUGACUCUCCAGAUGGCCCAGUUCACAAAUAAAAUUGUG